CCCAAGAGUGUGAGUGGCCAAUCUGUCUCUACAGCUGGCAAAGAAAGGAGGUGAGACGCUCCUGGAGCACAGAAGCCCACAGCCAAGGCAGAUCGAUUCCAUCCCGAGCCAUUAUUUCUACAUGAAAAGGAGCCUUCCAGUGUGCGGAGUCAAAUCACAGGGAAUGACCCCGCCUCCGCCCCUGAUUUUCCCGGUAAGUAGAAUUCAGAAUUUGAUUUUUUAAUGGGCUGUUAUGCGUUGUCACUCAGCUGUGACUGGGAGCCGUGUG
rnacentral:lncRNA from 1 species